rnacentral:rRNA from 1 species
UGGGGAAUUUUCCGCAAUGGGCGAAAGCCUGACGGAGUGACGCCGCGUGUGGGACGAAGGCCUUCGGGUCGUAAACCACUGUCAGUGGGAAAGAAGGAUGUCGGUGCUAAUACCACCGGCAUUUGACGGUACCUGCAGAGGAAGCCCCGGCCAACUCUGUGCCAGCAGCCGCGGUAAGACAGAGGGGGCAAGCGUUGCUCGGAAUUACUGGGCGUAAAGGGCGCGUAGGCGGGAUGGCAAGUCGGUCGUGAAAUCCUUCGGCUCAACCGAAGAACGUCGAUCGAUACUGCUGUUCUUGAGGGUUGCAGAGGAGACUGGAAUUCCCGGUGUAGCGGUGAAAUGUGUAGAGAUCGGGAGGAACACCGGUGGCGAAGGCGGGUCUCUGGGCAAUUCCUGACGCUGAGGCGCGAAAGCGUGGGGAGCAAACG